AACGAACGCUGGCGGCAGGCCUAACACAUGCAAGUCGAGCGAGGACUUCGGUCCUAGCGGCGGACGGGUGAGUAACGCGUGGGAACGUGCCCUUUGCUACGGAAUAGCCCCGGGAAACUGGGAGUAAUACCGUAUGUGCCCGAGAGGGGAAAGAUUUAUCGGCAAAGGAUCGGCCCGCGUUGGAUUAGUUAGUUGGUGGGGUAAUGGCCUACCAAGCCGACGAUCCAUAGCUGGUUUGAGAGGAUGAUCAGCCACACUGGGACUGAGACACGGCCCAGACUCCUACGGGAGGCAGCAGUGGGGAAUCUUAGACAAUGGGGGAAACCCUGAUCUAGCCAUGCCGCGUGAGCGAUGAAGGCCUUAGGGUUGUAAAGCUCUUUCAGUGGGGAAGAUAAUGACGGUACCCACAGAAGAAGCCCCGGCUAACUCCGUGCCAGAAGCCGCGGUAAAAC
rnacentral:rRNA from 1 species